rnacentral:rRNA from 1 species
AUUGAACGCUGGCGGCAGGCCUAACACAUGCAAGUCGAACGAGCGGCGGACGGGUGAGUAAUGUCUGGGGAUCUGCCCGAUAGAGGGGGAUAACUACUGGAAACGGUGGCUAAUACCGCAUACCAUCGGAUGUACCCAGAUGGGAUUAGCUGGUAGGUGGGGUAACGGCUCACCUAGGAGACGAUCUCUAGCUGGUCUGAGAGGAUGAUCAGCCACACUGGGACGGAGACACGGCCCAGACUCCGACGGGAGGCAGCAGUGGGGAAUAUUGCACAAUGGGCGCAAGCCUGAUGCAGCCAUGCCGCGUGUAUGAAGAAGGCCUUAGGGUUGUAAAGUACUUUCAGCGGGGAGGCGUUACCCGCAGAAGAAGCACCGGCUAACUCCGUGCCAGCAGCCGCGGUAAUAC